GUGCCAGCCGCCGCGGUAAUACGGAGGGUGCAAGCGUUGUUCGGAAUCACUGGGCGUAAAGGGCGCGCAGGCGGCUUGGCAAGUCAGAUGUGAAAGCCCACGGCUUAACCGUGGAAGUGCAUUUGAAACUGCCUGGUUUGAGUAUCAGAGGGGAAAGUGGAAUUCCCGGUGUAGAGGUGAAAUUCGUAGAUAUCGGGAGGAAUACCGGUGGCGAAGGCGACUUUCUGGCUGAAUACUGACGCUGAGGCGCGAAAGCGUGGGGAGCAAACAGGAUUAGAUACCCGUGUGUCC
rnacentral:rRNA from 1 species